rnacentral:lncRNA from 1 species
UUUAGUAGUUUGUUUGGGGCUUUGUUUUUGCUUGCUUACUCUGAGUCGAGUUAGCGCUGAGCCACCCACCGAGUUGGUCUUCGAGUCUGUCAGUUUUCAGAGUCGAGUCCUUUAGUUAUGCCCGAGUUUCACUGAGUUGUUGACUGGAUUUGUGUCAUUUUUGUUCUGUUUUUGUUGAGUAGAAUCUUGCUGUAUCAACUGCCGAGUCAAGUCUGUAUAACUGGUUUGUUAAAUACCGAGUCGAGGUGUCCAGAUUUGAAUGCUCUGUUUUCAUUUUGCUGGGUUUUACAUUUCGCCGAGUUCUGUGUUUGAAGUGCUGAGUUUGCUUCGAUUUCUUGUAGCCGAGUUACCGAGUCACUGAGUCGCAGGUCUGUGUUGCUGAGUAGUUAGUCUGUGUCUGUUGUGCUUAAUUUUGAUCGAGUCUAAGUCAUUUUCCGAGUCCAAGUCGAGUUGUAUGCUACUUGCUUAGACAUUGAGUAAAUGGCUGAGUCUGUUAUUUUUGUUUUGAGUCACUAUUUUGUGUUCGAGUUUGUCUGUGGCUUUUAGGUAUCUGUAACCGAGUUGUAUUAAUUUGUUAACAGGUUGUAUUGAAUAAUUUUAAUCUUUGUGGACGAAUCAUAAAUAUUAAAACGGUGAUCGUGCGCUUGCGAUUUAAAGGUAUUAUUUUGAGCACAUCAAUAGACUUUUGGCUUUUCAUCCUCCAAACUUUUGGUCUUUCACAUUCUUGUAACUAUGGAACUUUGAUCUUUCAAUUACUUGUAACCUCC